GACGGAAGGUGCAAGCGUUGCUCGGAAUCACUGGGCGUAAAGGGUGCGUAGGCGGCUUCUUAAGUCUGGUGUGAAAGCCCAGAGCUCAACUCUGGAAGUGCACUAGAAACUGGGAAGCUUGAGUACCGGAGGGGAGAGUGGAAUUCCUGGUGUAGCGGUGAAAUGCGUAGAUAUCAGGAGGAAUACCGGUGGCGAAAGCGAAUCUCUGGACAGAUCCUGACGCUGAUGCACGAAGGCUAGGGGAGCAAACGGG
rnacentral:rRNA from 1 species